rnacentral:lncRNA from 1 species
CUCUCUCUUCUUUGACAAGUCAUUGCAAUUCUGUCUUUUUUCCCAGGGUCAACUGCAGUCACUCUGGCACAGAAGACACUGCUUCGGUGUUUGCAAAGUUUGGGUUCAUCCAGUCCUUACUCAAAGUUAACUUUUAUAUUCAUUGUGUUAGGUCUUCUUGCAACUAUCUUUAUCUUUUUAUAUUCAACUACCAUCACCCUUCUUUUAAGGUUAUUUCUUGCAGGAGGUUGAGAACCACAACAUUAACUCAUUUUAUAUCUCACACCAACUGUCAAAGGAAGAUUCAACGAUUAUCUUCAUUUUAUAGGUGAAGAAACUAAAGCUAAGAGAACUUAUGCAACUUGCUUAA